CCAACCUCCAAGCCUAAGACAAAACAAGCAUACACAGACAGACAAUUUCAUUUGGGAGGAAAGAACAAAGAGGCAAAUCAUUGAGGCAAGCAAAAGAUUUUCAUUAUCCUCAUCAGAAAUGUCUCAUUUCAGUCUACUAUUAAUCCUAUGGCUAACUUCUCAAAUGCAUAACAGAAAAAUCAUGGAUAUAACUAUUAAAUUCAAGCUGCCAAGUCAAAUAAUGGAAAUACAGCUCAAGAGUGAAGAUCAACAAUUAAUAGACACUUUGAAGAGGAUUCACUUUAGUCUUCCUUGUGGUAUCCAACAAAGGGAGACCACGGUCACUGAUAGAAGACUGCUGUCUUAUAUGUUUUUAAUCAACAGAAUGACUAGAGUGGAUAUAUGGACAUCUGCUCAUUUAGUCAAAAGAAUUUUCCUGCAGAUAUCAGAGGCAUUACAUUCUUCCACCACUGGAAACAAGUCUAUAAAACAAACCAUUAUUAACCACCAAACUAGGUCAUACACUUAUCAAAAAGUGAUAAAAUACACUGGCACAGUGGUAAGAAAAGCAGUGAAAUAAAAACAUAGGGUACUGGAAACAGGGCAAGUGUGCAAAUUAAGUUUUGGGAGUUGGGACUUGAACUAGUUAUCACAUACCCUUUCCAAAAUUCAGACAACCAUAGUUAAUAUCAUUGAGGAUGGCAACAACUUUAUCUAGAACAAUCCAGAGGAAACGUUCAUGGAAACUAGUCUCUUGAAUAAAAGCCUAAAGAAUUCUGAAUAAAAUCUGUGUGCAGACACCCUCAAA